AUGGCCAUAAAGCAUUGAAUCACCAGUUGCUGUAUGAUCACCAAAGUUAAGCAAUGUUGAACAUGAUCAGUAACUAGAUGGGUGACUGCUUGGGAAUACCAGGUGCUGUAAU